UACGGAGGAUCCGAGCGUUGUCCGGAUUUACUGGGCGUAAAGAGCGCGCAGGCGGUCGUUCAAGUCGCGUGUGAAAGCCCCCGGCUCAACUGGGGAGGGUCACGCGAUACUGAUCGACUCGAAGGCAGGAGAGGGAAGUGGAAUUCCCGGUGUAGUGGUGAAAUGCGUAGAUAUCGGGAGGAACACCAGUGGCGAAGGCGACUUCCUGGCCUGUUCUUGACGCUGAGGCGCGAAAGCUAGGGGAGCAAACGGG
rnacentral:rRNA from 1 species